rnacentral:rRNA from 1 species
UGAGCAAUCUGCCCUUCUCUUCGGAGUAAGCGUUGGAAACGACGUCUAAUGCCGAAUACGACCUCCUUUCACAUGAUCGGAGGUGGAAAGCUCCGGCGGAGAAGGAUGAGCUCGCGGCCUAUCAGCUAGUUGGUGUGGGUAACGGCCCACCAAGGCGACGACGGGUAGCCGGCCUGAGAGGGUGACCGGCCACACUGGGACUGAGACACGGCCCAGACUCCUACGGGAGGCAGCAGG